rnacentral:lncRNA from 1 species
GAGUAGAUGUAAUCUCACUAGUUAGAGAUCUGUCUAUUUAGAUUCCUAAUUCUUCAUGAAUCAAAUUUGGUGGGUUUUCUAUUUUGUCUAUUACCUAAUGGUUAUAUUGAUUUGGUAUAGUUUAUAGUGCUUUGUGCUUUUCAUUCUUGGAAAAUUGGCCAUGAUGUCCCCAACCCUUUUAAAGAUACAUCACUAUGUGUAUAGUCACUUGUGUGCAGGUGUGUGCACAUAUAUGUGUGGGGGGGUGAAGUUAAGGCCUCAUCUUUUAUCUCUAUUUAUUGAAUCAGUCUCCCAGUUGAAUACCAAACUCCUAACUGGCUAGUUAUAUUGCCCUAGGGAUCCCCCAUCUCUGCCUCUUAAAAGUCCUGGGAUAUAGAGACCCACCACUGUAUGUAGCCUUUUCUCUUUUUGGGUGGGUUUCUGGGGAUCUGAGCUCUAGUGUCCUGCUUGCAUAGGAAGCACUUUAUCUACUGAGCCAUCUCCCUAGCCCAUUGUCACAUUUUGAUUUUCUUUUUCUCCCUUUCUUACCUAGCCAGUCUACCUAAGGUUUAUCAGUUUUGAGAUUUGAAAGACAAAGUCUUUGGGUUUGGGGUUUGUUUGUGGUUUUGGUUCUUUUAUUAUGUGUGUUUUUCUCUUUCCCUCUGCUCUAAUCUGUCUACUUGUCCUUGUCCUUGUUCCUUGAAGAAUAAGGUUAGACUGUUGAGGACCGUGUCAUUUGAGGACCAUGCUGCAUUGCUGUGAGUCUGAGCACUGCUUUUGUCACAUCACAAUACUUCUGCUAUUUUGUGUUUUCAUUUGUUUCAGCAAGUGUUCCAAUUUUUCUGGUGACUUUUUCUUUCAACCAUUAGUUAUUUUAAAAUGUCCUAUUUAUUUUACACAUAUUUGUGGGUUUGUAAUUUCCCUUAAUGUGUUAGGGCUCUUUGUGGCUCUAAUGUAUCCCCAAAAGUGUUCUAUGUAUAUUUGAGAAAAAUGUAUAUUCUGCUUGUUGGGUAUGUGUUCUGUAUAUGUUAUGAUGUCCAAAUAGUAAGUAUGUGGUAGUGUUCAAGUGUUCUUUCCCUUGUUGGUCUGCCUUACUUCUAUCUGUAACCCUAGAACAGUCUUAUUCCCUAGUUCUGUCAGUAUUCCCUUCGUAUGCCUAUCUCACCUGUGUGCCACUUCCCUCUUUGAGUGACUCGUGUUAUGGGACAUGUUUUUCAUUCUACUUUAGUGUAUAUAGUUCUAAAGUGAGUCUGUAUACAAUAUAUAGUUGAUCCUUAGGUUUUAAAUGUAUUCUUCUAAGCUGUAUCUUCUAUUAGGGCAUUAAAUCCAUUGAGAAAGUGACUACUGUAACUAUUAAAGGAAAGGGCUCACUGUUGCCAUUUUGUUUUCUAUGUCUUACAGUUUUUGGUCCUUCAUUUCUUCUUUUAGGGUUUAUUUGCAUCUGGUUGAUAUUUAUAGUGGUUUGUGUGAUUUACUUUAAUUUCUUUUUGUGCAUAUUGUUCAUGUGGCUUUUAAUGCAGCUUACAUGGAACAUCCUAAAGUUUCAAUAAUCUUAUCUAAUAAUUUCAAUCACAUACAAAACUUCUCUUUUUAGCUGUAUCCUCCUUUCUUACAUUAUCAAUGUCACAAAUACCAUAUGUGUGUCCAAUAACAAGUUUAUAACUUUUUAUGCUUUUCUAUUUUAAAUACUGUUGAAUAAAAAACAGUUGUGAACCAAAAUUACACU